GAUUAUGGCUCAGGAUGAACGCUAGCGACAGGCUUAACACAUGCAAGUCGAGGGGCAGCAUAAAAGUAGCAAUACUUGGUGGCGACCGGCGCACGGGUGAGUAACGCGUAUGCAACCUACCUAUCAGAGGGGAAUAACCCGGCGAAAGUCGGACUAAUACCGCAUAAAACAGGGGCACCGCAUGGUGAUAUUUGUUAAAGAAAUUCGCUGAUAGAUGGGCAUGCGUUCCAUUAGGUAGUUGGUGAGGCAACGGCUCACCAAGCCGACGAUGGAUAGGGGAACUGAGAGGUUGGUCCCCCACACUGGUACUGAGACACGGACCAGACUCCUACGGGAGGCAGCAGUGAGGAAUAUUGGUCAAUGGGCGGGAGCCUGAACCAGCCAAGUCGCGUGAAGGAAGAAGGAUCUAUGGUUCGUAAACUUCUUUUGCAGGGGAAUAAAGUGCAGGACGUGUCCUGUUUUGUAUGUACCCUGAGAAUAAGGAUCGGCUAACUCCGUGCCAGCCGCAGC
rnacentral:rRNA from 1 species